rfam:Peptoniphilus sp. oral taxon 375 str. F0436 noncontiguous_finished_chromosome, whole genome shotgun sequence.
GGGAAACAGGUUCGAAUCCUGUACGGUGCCGCCACUGUGAAAAGCUUAAGCUUGUAGUCAGAAUACC